rnacentral:rRNA from 2 species
UGGCGGACGGGUGAGUAAUGUCUGGGAAACUGCCUGAUGGAGGGGGAUAACUACUGGAAACGGUGGCUAAUACCGCAUAACGUCGCAAGACCAAAGAGGGGGACCUUCGGGCCUCUUGCCAUCAGAUGUGCCCAGAUGGGAUUAGCUUGUUGGUGAGGUAACGGCUCACCAAGGCGACGAUCCCUAGCUGGUCUGAGAGGAUGACCAGCCACACUGGAACUGAGACACGGUCCAGACUCCUACGGGAGGCAGCAGUGGGGAAUAUUGCACAAUGGGCGCAAGCCUGAUGCAGCCAUGCCGCGUGUAUGAAGAAGGCCUUCGGGUUGUAAAGUACUUUCAGCGGGGAGG